GACGAACGCUGGCGGCGUGCUUAACACAUGCAAGUCGAACGGAAAGGCCCAGCUUUUGUGGGGUGCUCGAGUGGCGAACGGGUGAGUAACACGUGAGUAACCUGCCCUUGACUUUGGGAUAACUUCAGGAAACUGGGGCUAAUACCGGAUAGGAGCUCCUGCUGCAUGGUGGGGGUUGGAAAGUUUCGGCGGUUGGGGAUGGACUCGCGGCUUAUCAGCUUGUUGGUGGGGUAGUGGCUUACCAAGGCUUUGACGGGUAGCCGGCCUGAGAGGGUGACCGGCCCCAUUGGGACUGGAAUACGGCCCAGACUCCUACGGGAGGGAACAGUGGGGAAUAUUGCACAAUGGGCGGAAGCCUGAUGCAGCAACGCCGCGUGCGGGAUGACGGCCUUCGGGUUGUAAACCGCUUUCGCCUGUGACGAAGCGUGAGUGACGGUAAUGGGUAAAGAAGCACCGGCUAACUACGUG
rnacentral:rRNA from 1 species